rnacentral:rRNA from 1 species
GAUGAACGCUAGCGGCAGGCUUAACACAUGCAAGUCGAGGGGCAGCAUGAACCGACCUUCGGGAAGGUUUGAUGGCGACCGGCGCAAGGGUGCGUAACGCGUGAGCAACUUGCCCGUUUCAGGGGGAUAACCGGUGGAAACGCCGACUAAUACCCCAUAGUAUUGAGUUUAGGCAUCUUUACUCAAUUAAAGAAUUUCGGAAACGGAUAGGCUCGCGUGACAUUAGCUAGAUGGCGGGUAACGGCCCACCAUGGCAACGAUGUCUAGGGGUUCUGAGAGGAAGGUCCCCCACACUGGAACUGAGACACGGUCCAGACUCCUACGGGAGGCAGCAGUGAGGAAUAUUGGUCAAUGGACGGAAGUCUGAACCAGCCAAGUCGCGUGAAGGAAUACGGUCCUAUGGAUUUUAAACUUCUUUUGUAUGGGAGCAAUAAGGUGUACGCGUACAUCGAUGAGAGUACCAUACGAAUAAGCAUCGGCUAACUCCGUG